GACGAACGCUGGCGGCGUGCUUAACACAUGCAAGUCGAACGCUGAAGCUCAGCUUGCUGGGUGGAUGAGUGGCGAACGGGUGAGUAACACGUGAGUAACCUGCCCUCUUCUUUGGGAUAACGCCCGGAAACGGGUGCUAAUACUGGAUAUUCACUGAUUCUCGCAUGGGGGUUGGUGGAAAGGUUUUUUCUGGUGGGGGAUGGGCUCGCGGCCUAUCAGCUUGUUGGUGGGGUGAUGGCCUACCAAGGCUUUGACGGGUAGCCGGCCUGAGAGGGUGACCGGUCACAUUGGGACUGAGAUACGGCCCAGACUCCUACGGGAGGCAGCAGUGGGGAAUAGUGCACAAUGGGCGAAAGCCUGAUGCAGCGACGCCGCGUGAGGGAUGGAGGCCUUCGGGUUGUAAACCUCUUUCGCUCAUGGUCAAGCCGCAGCUUGGGGUUGUGGUGAGGGUAGUGGGUAAAGAAGCGCCGGCUAACUACGUG
rnacentral:rRNA from 1 species